CCGCCUUCUGGGGAUUUCUCUGACUCAGAUUUUUGAGGAUUUCGCUGACUCCUCUGGCGAGGAUUUCGCUGACUCCUCUGGCGAGGACUUCGCUGCUCCUCUGGUCAGUCGGAUUUUAUCCACUACAUCCACAGCCCAGCCAGUAGUCGAAGCCCAGCAAGAAGAGCCAGACGAGCCCAGCCUAGCCCAACGUCGGACGCGCCGCGAGAUUAAGAAGCCAGCCCGUUUCAAUGUUUAAUGGCCCAUUUUAUUUUCUUUGUUGCGUCGCCUAGGUCAUAUAUAUUAGACUAGGGUUUUGUUUGUUGCUUAUGUUAUGAAUAUUUUGAUUGAGAACUGAUUCUUGCGUGAUCGUGAGAGUUUGAUUUGGAGUUUCACGUUCUCCUCAACGUGAUUAUUAAUACAUCUCGUAUUAAAUUGUCUUCCUCAAAC
rnacentral:lncRNA from 1 species